UUAUUGUGGUAGCCCACAAAAUAUUGGGAUAUAUAAAAAAACGACAACUCUGUUGCGCAGAGUAGCUGUUGACAUUAUAGUUGCGCAGGCACUUUGUUGACUCUAGAGAACCUCGGGCCGAUCGCACAUCCUCGUGGCGGCGACUUUGCAUGUGGAUGUCAUCCAUAUCAACUUUCGAUGCCAGUUUCUGCGCCUACCAUGGUGACCAAGGGUAAUGGGGAAUCAGGGUUCCAUUCCGUACAGGGACCCUGAGAAACGGCUACCACAUGCAAGGAAGGCAGCAGGGGCACAAAUGACCCAUUCCCGACGCGGGAAGGUAGUGAUGAUAA